GACGAACGCUGGCGGCGUGCUUAACACAUGCAAGUCGAGCGGUAAGGCCCUUUCGGGGGUACACGAGCGGCGAACGGGUGAGUAACACGUGGGUGACCUGCCCUCAGCUCUGGGAUAAGCCUGAGAAACCGGGUCUAAUACCGGAUAUGACUCCAUGACGCAUGUUGUGGGGUGGAAAGCCUUGUGCGGCUGAGGAUGGGCCCGCGGCCUAUCAGCUUGUUGGUGGGGGGAUGGCCUACC
rnacentral:rRNA from 1 species